GUGUUUGCCCUGGGUUCUUCUUCCUAUUAUUCCCCUACUUCUCUUACCUCCGUUAUGACGACCCACCCUCACCAUCGCCUGGGAAGAGAAAGUGUCAUCUUGUCUCCCCGCGUCAUCUUGUCUCCCAGUGUCCAGUAGGGCGGAGAGGGAGGCCCAGAGGCAGGAUGAAAAACCACAGUCUGAGAGCUUGUAGAGCGUGCCCGAGAGGCCUGGAGGAGACUUGGGACCUGUUUUCACAACUGCAGAGGUGAGGCACUUCCCGUUCCCUGCAUCCUUCCUGCCAGGGCUGGGAUGUGACCCCAGGGCCGUAGGCAGCCUGGAGCUGACCUGGGAUGGGGAGACCACAGGGACAGAGGAUGGGAGUAAAACCCUGGGGCGAGGGGUAGCAGGAGAAUUGGGCAGUCAGGAUGUGGGGUGGUGGAGGGGCUGUGACCCGAGCUCCCACUCUGGCCCCCGCCCCACCU